AUUGAACGCUGGCGGCGUGCCUAAUACAUGCAAGUAGGACGCAGUUGCGAACGGGUGAGUAACGCGUAGGUAACUACCUAUUAGAGGGGGAUAACUAUUGGAAACGAUAGCUAAUACCGCCUACUAGUAGAUGGACCUGCGUUGUAUUAGCUAGUAGGUAGGGUAAUGGCCUACCUAGGCAACGAUACAUAGCCGACCGGAGAGGGUGAUCGGCCACACUGGGACUGAGACACGGCCCAGACUCCUACGGGAGGCAGCAGUAGGGAAUCUUCGGCAAUGGGGGGAACCCUGACCGAGCAACGCCGCGUGAGUGAUGAAGGUUUUCGGAUCGUAAAGCUCUGUUGUUAAGGAAGCGGUACUUAACCAGAAAGGGACGGCUAACUACGUGCCAGCAGCCGCGGUAAUAC
rnacentral:rRNA from 1 species